GCAUAUCAUAAGCGGAGGAAAAGAAACCACAGGGAUUGCCCUAGUAACGGCGAGUGAAGCGGCAACAGCUCAAAUUUGAAAUCUGGCCUUCUGGUCCGAAUUGUAAUUUGUAGAGGAUGCUUUUGGUUAGGUACCUUUCGAGUUCCUUGGAACAGGACGCCUUAGAGGGUGAGAGCCCCGUACGAUUGGAUACCGAGCCUCUGUAAAGCUCCUUCGACGAGUCGAGUAGUUUGGGAAUGCUGCUCUAAAUGGGAGGUAAAUUUCUUCUAAAGCUAAAUACCGGCCAGAGACCGAUAGCGCACAAGUAGAGUGAUCGAAAGAUGAAAAGCACUUUGAAAAGAGGGUUAAAUAGUACGUGAAAUUGUUGAAAGGGAAGGGCUUAUGACCAGACCUUUGCCUUGCGGAUCAUCCGGUGUUCUCACCGGUGCACUCCGCUUGGUUGAGGCCAGCAUCAGUUUUGGCGGCCGGAUAAAGACUUCAGGAAUGUGACUCCUCCGGGAGUGUUAUAGCCUGCUGUGUAAUACGGCCGCUGGGACUGAGGACCGCGCUUCGGCUAGGAUGCUGGCAUAAUGGUCAUCAGCCACCCGUCUUGAAACACGGACCAAGGAGUCGAACAUUUAUGCGAGUUUUUGGGUGUUAAACCCUCAAGCGUAAUGAAAGUGAACGGAGGUGAGAGCCCUUACGGGUGCAUCAUCGACCGAUCCUGAUGUCUUCGGAUGGAUUUGAGUAAGAGCAUAACUGUUCGGACCCGAAAGAUGGUGAACUAUGCGUGGAUAGGGUGAAGCCAGAGGAAACUCUGGUGGAGGCUCGCAGCGGUUCUGACGUGCAAAUCGAUCGUCAAAUCUGCGCAUGGGGGCGAAAGACUAAUCGAACCAUCUAGUAGCUGGUUACCGCCGAAG
rnacentral:rRNA from 1 species